CGUGGCCGGGUUGGGCGUUGCCGCCGUCCUGUGUGUCCUGGGCUUCAUCGUCCUGCUCAGUGGGAAGUGCAAGUGCCAGAGCAAGGCCAGCCACCGACGACACCCCCCCGAGAUGUCACACCUGGUUGGGACAGGAGCCGCCAGCACGUGCUGAGGUGUCCCCAAGUGUCCCCGAGUGUCCCCAAGUGCAGCGACACGUGGAGGGGGGAGGGACGGGUUUAUUUUGGGGUGGAACCCCCCCAAACCAGCCCAACAAAUGGGGAAAAUUAAUAAAAAAGGUUAAAAAAAAAGGGGUGACUUGGUUCUCGGGGGGUGGUGGCACUUGGGGG